rnacentral:ncRNA from 22 species
AGACAGCGCUAUCGCGCUUCCUCAGCCCGAACGGCAUCGAAGUAACGACUGGCUCAAACAACUUUCUUAUCCAUAACUCACG